rnacentral:rRNA from 1 species
GAUGAACGCUAGCGGCAGGCCUAACACAUGCAAGUCGAGGGGUAUAGGGAGCUUGCUUCCUAGAGACCGGCGCACGGGUGCGUAACGCGUAUGCAAUCUACCUUGUACAGGGGAAUAGCCCAGAGAAAUUUGGAUUAAUGCCCCAUAGUAUUAUUAAAUGGCAUCCUUUAAUAAUUAAAGUUCCAACGGUACAAGAUGAGCACGCGUCCUAUUAGUUAGUUGGUGUGGUAACGGCAUACCAAGACGAUGAUAGGUAGGGGUCCUGAGAGGGAGACCCCCCACACUGGUACUGAGACACGGACCAGACUCCUACGGGAGGGCAGCAGUGAGGGAAUAUUGGACGAAUGGGCGGCAAG